AUGUGUGGCACUUUCCAAGGGGGCGGGGGAGACACCCUGCAAGCAACAGGAGUGAGGUCUCUCGAGAAAGGCACAAACAGCAUAAUUAACAUAAACCGGACGGAUGGAAUCUGGAUCUGGAAGAUCAUCUCCGGCAAGCAGCCCUGUGAUGAUGAAAUCCCUUCUAGAUCCUGUUGGCUAUUUCUGUACUGCUCUGGAUUUGGGAAGUUUUUCCUUAUGUUAAGCCAAAGACCCUAUUGCAAAACGAGUCUACACUCUCCCACGUGGUCACUCCCCACAUACGUGGAGACAUUCUAUCCUUUUCUCUGGGACCCCGACCUUCAACCCCCCUCCCCCCAGCUUGUAGCCUAAAAAAACCUCACCCCCACUGACUGUUUUAACUACCACUCUGGCCCCUUCACCCAAGACCCCUCCAUCUAUUCUCCAAAACUGGGGUCCCCAGGGCUGGGUCCUGGCCACACUUCGUGGACCGCUCUAAGGGCUCUCCAGUCUCACUCAUGCCCAUGACUUGAAGCACCUUCAGAGUCAGCUAAUGUUUUCCAGAUUUAUACCUGCGGCCCUGACGCCCGGUCCCCCAUGCCAGACCCACAUCCCCAGUCAGCAGUUUGGGCCCUCCCUCGGAUGUCCCACCACCUCCCCCUGCACCUGCUCCCACCUGGACCCUCUCUCAGUGGGCAGCACCCCCUUAGCCAGCCGCUCAGACACAAACCUGGGAGUCCUGCUGCUUUGUUCCUGCUCCCGCCUGGCCUCAACUCCAGUGAAUCACAAGGCUUAUUGACGGUACCUCCAAGGCUUGUGAGAUCCCUCCCACUCUCCACCCCCACAGCGCGGUUAUGGGAGCCUCCCCUCACUCCUUUUGAAAAACUCAUUGAUGAGUUCCCAUGGGACCCAGAAUAAUAUCAAAAUACGAGCCACGAUCCCUGACUCUCCAUCUUUAUUCUCUACUCUGUGAUCUCGACUGUCUGCCACUCUGGGCUUAUUUGGGCUCCCUGGGAGAAGCAACCUCUUUCUACCACAGGGCCUUGGCAUAUGCUGUCUGGGUCCCCUCCUCUCGGCAUGGUUGUCUCCUGCUUCCCCGAGCCCCCUGGUGCUUUCUCACAGCACCUAGAAUAAUUUGUUAUCUAAUGAGAAAUUUACAUGUAUAUGUAUAUAUGAGUAUUUACGUAUACGUAUUUUUGUGGUAUGCCUGUCCCCACGACU
rnacentral:lncRNA from 1 species